GGCCCCCUCUGUGGGGGCACGAGCACGCCGCCGUCCUCGUCGUGAUGGCUCUGAGAGAUUCCUCUGCGAAUCUGUUUUUAGCUAUCAAGUGGCAUCCACGCUUAAACAGGUGAAACAUGAUCAGCAAGUUGCUCGGAUGGAAAAACUAGCUGGUUUGGUAGAAGAGCUGGAGGCUGACGAGUGGCGGUUUAAGCCCAUCGAGCAGCUGCUGGGAUUCACCCCCUCUUCGGGUUGAUGCUGCCUGGAUGGUCACCUCUGGUGUGCAGCUAGUGCAAAGCCAGUGGGGGACUUUCUCACAGCUUACAUAGCCAUCCAGAGAUCCACAGCUACAUCGCUGAAUUGUUAAUGCACAUUUGUACUUGGUUUCUCUGUAUCUAUUCACAGUCAACAAAUACUUAUAUGUGUGAUCUUUCAGGGAAUAUUUUGUUUAUUUGUUUUUAAAAGUAUUGGGAAUCAGAUUAAGACAGUCGGUUUCAGAGAACCAGGAGGUUUGGGGUUAAGAGAUACUUAAAAAUUUUCACAAGCCAGGUAGGGCAUAUAUCAGAUUUGGCCAACUGAAUGGCAUCUGUCCUGUCAUCCAUAUGGUGCCUGGAAAUAUUUACCAGUCAAGGUCAAGGUCAGCAUCUGUGGUUAAAAAUACAGCAUUCUGACCUAAAAAAGUUAUUUUGCAGAUGAAUGUGAUUUCACCUCAGGACCUAUCCAAAUGAGGAAUUUUUAAAUAUUCAUUUUUUUUU
rnacentral:sRNA from 1 species